rnacentral:ncRNA from 1 species
AAACUGGAGAGUUUGAUCCUGGCUCAGAACGAACGCUGGCGGCGUGCUUAACACAUGCAAGUCGAACGCGAACG